rnacentral:lncRNA from 1 species
UCGUGAUUAUAAUAUUACAAGCAAAUAAAUUAAACAUUGAUGUUAUGAAUAUUCUUGAUGUCAAUGAACAGGCAAAAUAAAACUUAGAAUGAUAUAGUUUUAACUUUACAUCGAUUCAUGGCCAAUCCUAACAAAUUGUUCUGUAUUAAUUAAAUUUACGACGAAAUUUUAUCGAAAUAUUAUAGGAGAUUGAGCUUACAAACAAUAUGAAAUGUAUGUUUCUCAUUGCUCUGAAUUAAUAAGGAGGCAACAACUAUCAAUGCACAACUCAAUGUUGUAGCAAAAGUAACCGAAACUAACUCCCAAGAAUGAAGAUGAUGUGGAAAAUGAAACAAAGGUUGCAAGAAGAAAAAAAAAAUUGAGAAAAGAAGUACAAGGCCUUUGGCAAUGAAGAUGAAGAUAUGAUGAGUACACUGGACAAGAAAAAAUGGAAGACUACAAUAAAACAAUAACAAACAAAGAAAUAUUUUGAGCGAAGACCAAUCAGCUGCAUGAUCUUGUGAAAACGGAGCGAGUAUUCAAGAUGCUAUUUGCUGCGAAAACUCGAACCUGCGAUGUGGGUUUUCUCAACGAAUGCAUAGUAUAUGUAUGUAUAAAUUAUAUUCCUU